GCCUUCUUAGCUCAGGGGUAGAGCGCGUCACUAGUACGAUUCGAAUUCAAUUCGACAUCAGUCAAUGACGAGGUCAUUGGUUCAAAUCCAGUAGGAGGCA
rnacentral:tRNA from 1 species